rnacentral:rRNA from 1 species
GGUCCUGGCCGGUCGGUCCGCCUCACGGCGUGCACUGAUCGGUUGGACCUUCCUUUCUUGGUGAGCCCUGUUUGCCGUUUACUCGGUGAGCAGGUGUCUGGCCAGGACUUUUACUUUGAAAAAAUUAGAGUGUUCAAAGCAGGCCUAUGCCCGAAUAUAUUAGCAUGGAAUAAUAGAAUAGGACGUCGCGGUCCUAUUUUGUUGGUUUCUAGGAUCGCCGUA